GGGGAUUUAGCUCAGCGGUUCAGUGUUGUGCCUUGCAAGCACAAGGACCUAAGUUCAAUCCCCA
rnacentral:tRNA from 1 species